UCGAACGCUGGCGGCGUGCUUACACAUGCAAGUCGAACGGAAAGGCCCUUCGGGGUACUCGAGUGGCGAACGGGUGAGUAACACGUGGGUGAUCUGCCCUGCACUCUGGGAUAAGCCUGGGAAACUGGGUCUAAUACCGGAUAGGACCACACACUUCAUGGUGAGUGGUGCAAAGCUUUUGCGGUGUGGGAUGAGCCCGCGGCCUAUCAGCUUGUUGGUGGGGUAAUGGCCCACCAAGGCGACGACGGGUAGCCGGCCUGAGAGGGUGACCGGCCACACUGGGACUGAGAUACGGCCCAGACUCCUACGGGAGGCAGCAGUGGGGAAUAUUGCACAAUGGGCGCAAGCCUGAUGCAGCGACGCCGCGUGAGGGAUGACGGCCUUCGGGUUGUAAACCUCUUUCAGUAGGGACGAAGCGAAAGUGACGGUACCUACAGAAGAAGGACCGGCCAACUACGUGCCAGCAGCCGCGGUAAUACGUAGGGUCCGAGCGUUGUCCGGAAUUACUGGGCGUAAAGAGCUCGUAGGUGGUUUGUCGCGUUGUUCGUGAAAACUCACAGCUUAACUGUGGGCGUGCGGGCGAUACGGGCAGACUAGAGUACUGCAGGGGAGACUGGAAUUCCUGGUGUAGCGGUGGAAUGCGCAGAUAUCAGGAGGAACACCGGUGGCGAAGGCGGGUCUCUGGGCAGUAACUGACGCUGAGGAGCGAAAGCGUGGGUAGCGAACAGGAUUAGAUACCCUGGUAGUCCACGCCGUAAACGGUGGGUACUAGGUGUGGGUUUCCUUCCUUGGGAUCCGUGCCGUAGCUAACGCAUUAAGUACCCCGCCUGGGGAGUACGGUCGCAAGACA
rnacentral:rRNA from 1 species